AUGUCCCUACAAUGGCAGUCUAGUGUGCGCCUGCGGGGAGUCCACCAGAAGAUGGUCGUAGCCGGCAGCCGGCUACAAUUCCUGCAAGGACGCCGACCCUGCUCCCAGAUUUCUGUGGUCCGCCCAGAGGUACCCUCCAACCAGCUCUCACAUGGUUGUGAUUGCUGAAUUGAACUGCUCUGCACGCCCUACCACAGCUUACAAGUUCACGGUCGCCUCCCUCAGGAGCCCAUCACACUCCGCUGUGCAGUCCACCUUGCGCGUCGUCCUGAAGUACACCUUGCGCCCCUUCUCCCGCUCUCGGCUGUGACUCCUCCUAAGCUUCGCUGAUAAGUUCAUUUGCUUCCUAAUAUGGAGGUGUACAUCGAUCGGCAAUUUUCUGGAAAACUAGGAGAGAUACUGAUAAGGUAACAAU